rnacentral:rRNA from 1 species
GAUGAACGCUGGCGGCGUGCCUAAUACAUGCAAGUCGAGCGAACAGACGAGGAGCUUGCUCCUCUGACGUUAGCGGCGGACGGGUGAGUAACACGUGGAUAACCUACCUAUAAGACUGGGAUAACUUCGGGAAACCGGAGCUAAUACCGGAUAAUAUAUUGAACCGCAUGGUUCAAUAGUGAAAGACGGUUUUGCUGUCACUUAUAGAUGGAUCCGCGCCGCAUUAGCUAGUUGGUAAGGUAACGGCUUACCAAGGCGACGAUGCGUAGCCGACCUGAGAGGGUGAUCGGCCACACUGGAACUGAGACACGGUCCAGACUCCUACGGGAGGCAGCAGUAGGGAAUCUUCCGCGAUGGGCGAAAGCUUGACGGAGCAACGCCGCGUGAGUGAUGAAGGUCUUCGGAUCGUAAAACUCUGUUAUUAGGGAAGAACAAAUGUGUAAGUAACUAUGCACGUCUUGACGGUACCUAAUCAGAAAGCCACGGCUAACUACGUG